rnacentral:rRNA from 1 species
CACCAGGUUGAUUCUGCCUGACGUGGAUGCUAGUCUCAUAGGUUAAGCCAUGCAUGUGCAAGCGAAGCGUAAGUGGAGCGGCGCAAGGCUCAGUAACGGGCGAGUAUUUGAUCUUCCUAGAGUGGAUAUCCUCUGCUAACCGGAGGGCAAAACACAAGAUGAGCGAUUGACGAGGUCGUUCGUCUAACGAAUAGUGUAGGAGAGUAAGAAGCCAUCCCAUCAGUUAGUAAGUAGGGUAAGGGCCUACUUAGACGAAGACGGGUACGGGGAAUUAUCGUUUGAUUCCGGAGAGGGAGCCUGAGAGACGGCUACCAGGUCCAAGGACAGCAGCAGGCGCGAAAAUUACCGCAGCCUGCGUUCAGGGCGGUAGUAAGGAGACGUGAAAACAAUGUGCGGGCAAAAAACGCACUAGAUACAGGAGGACAAGACUGGUGCCAGCACCCGCGGUAAUACCAGCUCCUGGAGUGUCUAUGAUGAUUGCUGCAGUUAAAGAGUUCGUAGUCGAAGUGGUUAUAACGGUGUAACAGGCCUUCUCUCAAGGAGGGUUAUGCGCCGUGAUUCCAUGGAAUAAGGAGCGUUUAGGGGCCAGGUUAUUAAGCGACGAGGGGUGAAAUCUGGUGACUCGCUUAGGAGCAACAGAGGCGAAAGCGCUGGCCAGGAGCGAAUCCGAUGAUAAAGGACGUAGGCUAGAGGAUCGAAGACGAUUAGAGACCGUUGUAGUUCUAGCAGUAAACGAUGCCGAUACCGUGGUGCGGAUACCGACGGGAAGAGAAAUCGAGUAGGGCCCUGGGGAGAGUACACGCGCAAGAGGAAAUUUAAAGGAAAUUGACGGAAGAACACCACAAGGAGUGGAGUGUGCGGCUUAAUUUGACUCAACGCGGGACAGCUUACCAGGCCCGACGGCCGGACGAGUGUUGUACACGAUAGGUCGAAGAGUGGUGCAUGGCCGUUAACGACGAGUGAGGUGACUUUUGGGUUAAAUCCGGGAGGUAGUGAGACCCCUACCGAAAGGGACAGGUGCCGAAAGCACAGGAAGGAAGGGUCAAGAACAGGUCAGUGAUGCCCUCAGAUGGUCUGGGCUGCACGCGCACUACAGUGGUCAUAGAAAUGAAACGAUAGAAUUAAAGAUGAUCGAGAGGGAAUGAGCUUUGUAAGAGGCUCAGGAACGAGGAAUUGCUAGUAAUCGCGGACUCAUUAAGACGCGAUGAAUACGUCCCUGUUCUUUGUAGUACGCACCGCCCGUCGUUAUCGAAGAUGGAGUCAGGCGCGGAACAAGCGAGAGCGAGUGAGUGCAGGAUUCUAGAUGUGAUACAAGUUCGUAACAAGGUAGCUGUAGGAGAACCUGUGACUGG